rnacentral:rRNA from 1 species
UACGAAGGGGGCUAGCGUUGCUCGGAAUCACUGGGCGUAAAGCGCACGUAGGCGGCUCGUUAAGUCGGGGGUGAAAUCCUGGAGCUCAACUCCAGAACUGCCCUCGAUACUGACGAGCUCGAGUCCGGGAGAGGUGAGUGGAACUGCGAGUGUAGAGGUGAAAUUCGUAGAUAUUCGGAAGAACACCAGUGGCGAAGGCGGCUCACUGGUCCGGUACUGACGCUGAGGUGCGAAAGCGUGGGGAGCAAACAGG